CGAGUCCUACGGGACGCAGCAGUAGGGAAUUUUCGUCAAUGGGCGCAAGCCUGAACGAGCGAUGCCGCGUGAGUGAAGAAGGCCUUCGGGUCGUAAAGCUCUGUUGCGGGGGAAAAAAGGCAGCAUCAGGAAAUGGGUGCUGACUGAUGGUGCCCCGCCAGAAAGUCACGGCUAACUACGUGCCAGCAGCCGCGGUAAUACGUAGGUGGCGAGCGUUAUCAGGAAUGAUUGGGCGUCAAGGGU
rnacentral:rRNA from 1 species